CCCUUAGAUGUUCUGGGCCGCACGCGCGCUACACUGACGAAUGCAACGAGCUUAUAACCUUGACCGAAAGGUCUGGGUAAUCUCCAAAUUUCGUCGUGAUGGGGAUAGAUUAUUGCAAUUAUUAAUCUUCAACGAGGAAUGCCUAGUAAGCGCAAGUCAUCAGCUUGCGUUGAUUACGUCCCUGCCCUUUGUACACACCGCCCGUCGCUCCUACCGAUUGAAUGGUCCGGUGAAGCGUUCGGACCGUGGCCUUUGGACGGUUCGCCGUCUGUUGGCUGCGGGAAGUUCGUUAAACCUUAUCAUUUAGAGGAAGGAGAAGUCGUAACA
rnacentral:rRNA from 1 species